rnacentral:rRNA from 1 species
UGGGGAAUUUUGGACAAUGGGGGCAACCCUGAUCCAGCAAUGCCGCGUGUGUGAAGAAGGCCUUCGGGUUGUAAAGCACUUUUGUCCGGAAAGAAAUCGCCCUGGCUAAUAUCCGGGGUGGAUGACGGUACUGGAAGAAUAAGCACCGGCUAACUACGUGCCAGCAGCCGCGGUAAUACGUAGGGUGCGAGCGUUAAUCGGAAUUACUGGGCGUAAAGCGUGCGCAGGCGGUUGUGCAAGACAGAUGUGAAAUCCCCGGGCUUAAACCUGGGAAUGGCAUUUGUGACUGCACGGCUAGAGUGUGUCAGAGGGGGGUAGAAUUCCACGUGUAGCAGUGAAAUGCGUAGAUAUGUGGAGGAACACCGAUGGCGAAGGCAGCCCCCUGGGAUAACACUGACGCUCAUGCACGAAAGCGUGGGGAGCAAACAGGAUUAGAUACCCUGGUAGUCCACGCCCUAAACGAUGUCAACUAGUUGUCGGGUCUUAAUUGACUUGGUAACGCAGCUAACGCGUGAAGUUGACCGCCUGGGGAGUACGUCGCAAGAUUAAAACUCAAAUGAAUUG